rnacentral:rRNA from 1 species
GAUGAACGCUGGCGGCGUGCCUAAUACAUGCAAGUCGAGCGAACAGACGAGGAGCUUGCUCCUCUGACGUUAGCGGCGGACGGGUGAGUAACACGUGGAUAACCUACCUAUAAGACUGGGAUAACUUCGGGAAACCGGAGCUAAUACCGUAUAAUAUAUUGAACCGCAUGGUUCAAUAGUGAAAGACGGUUUUGCUGUCACUUAUAGAUGGAUCCGCGCCGCAUUAGCUGGUUGGUAAGGUAACGGCUUACCAAGGCGACGAUGCGUAGCCGACCUGAGAGGGUGAUCGGCCACACUGGAACUGAGACACGGUCCAGACUCCUACGGGAGGCAGCAGUAGGGAAUCUGCCGCAAUGGGCGAAAGCCUGACGGAGCAACGGCGCGUGAGUGAUGAAGGUCUUCGGAUCGUAAAACUCUGUUAUUAGGGAAGAACAAAUGUGUAAGUAACUAUGCACGUAUUGACGGUACCUAAUCAGAAAGCCACGGCUAACUACGUG